AGUAGAUUGAACAGUCGCGGGGAUAUUCCGAAAGGAAUACUCCGAGGAAAGUCCGGGCUCCACAGAGCAAAAGCAACGGCUAACCGCCGCCGAGGGCGACCUUAGGGAUAGUGCAACAGAGAAUAACCGCCGUUUAUACGGUAAGGGUGGAAAGGUGAGGUAAGAGCUCACCGCAGAUACGGAGACGUAUCGGGCGUGUAAACCCUGCUUGGAGCAACACCGCGGAGGGACGUAUGGCCUGCUCGGCUGUCCCGUGGAGGUGGCGCUGAGCGUAUCGGCAACGAUGCGCCAAGAUAGAUGACUGUUUUUAACAGAACCCGGCUUACAGAUUUAGUC
rnacentral:RNase_P_RNA from 1 species